UGCUGAUGUAUGAAGAAGAUUGUGCUUCUGUGAGUUCACUCUUACACACAGUACAAGUAUGGGUUACACUUUAUUUUAAGGUGUCCUUGUUACAGUGUAAUUAUACAUUUAAGUACUGAGUAAUAUUAAUUAACUACAUGUACUUACUACAUGGUUAGGGUUUGGCUUAGGGUUACUUACUUGCUUGUAAUUAUGCUUAAUUUAUUGUUAUUAUAAUAGUAAGUACAUGUAAUGUGUAACAAGGACAGCUUAAAAUAAAGUGUUACCCAAACAGCUUGAUGUUUUUGUCUGAGGGGGGUUCACGCGUCUUGCUGUCACGCACCUCGUCGCUCACUGACGCGCGUGACGCGCUGGAAUUCUCACGCGUGGAUUGCUCGCGCGCCUGUGACGUCGCGCGUGAAGCGUUGUGACUCCCUCACACACACACACACCCCGCUCCAGAUCCACGGAGCGAGGGACGCUCGCGGUGUCUGUCCGCGGCAGCAUGUCCACAGUGAUGAGCGGCUUGGUGAACAUGGCGAGUCUCGCGGAUUUCGAGCCGCUCGCGGCGGUGAUUCCCGCCACGAAAGUUGAGAUCACCGUGUCGUGCAGAAACCUCUUGGACAGAGACACCUUCUCAAAAUCUGAUCCAAGUAAGCUUUUUGGUAUUAUACCAUAUCACAUUAUAAAAGCAUAUUCAUUUAGUCUGUCACACUUUCAGAUGUAGGUACAAAGAUCGGUUUAUCUGACAAAACUAGCACAUCUGAAAUCACAUUGCUUACAGCAGUCUGGGCUGAAAUCAUGAUGCAGUUACUGCUCAUCAGCAGAGCACCGAGCACCGUAGGGAGCAUCAUUAGUGUGCAAUAUCUAACCUGCCUGCCUUAAUUAUUAUGUUGUUUUAUUAGAAAGCUUGAUUGUGCAGGAAACCCUGCUGUAUGUGUAUAUUCUUUCAUAUGCAGGAUAUAAUAUAAUAUUUGCAUUUGCAUUUUUUGUUUGCAUCUUCACGUGUUGUGUGUUCACUUGAGUUGUGAUUGAAUUGUGUAGUCCAGAUGUUGUGUUCGGCUUACAUUCACAGCUUUAAUGAUACAGAUGUGUUUGACUGCAGGCCCUGCAUUGUUCAUUCUGCUCUAUGACUGAUUACACUGACUGUUUCUGACACACACACACACACACACACACACACACACACACACACACACACACACACACACACACACAGACACAUUAUAUGCUCUAAAAGAUUUUGUUUUGAUUAUUUCUCUGCUAAAGAAAAUUCUAUUUUCCUCUUAAAAUUGGUCCAGUUAUAUUGUUUGGAAAGUACAAGCACCUUUGUAAUAUUACAUUUCCCCCCUGAAGAUAACUUAUAAUGUACGUUUUUUUUUUAAUACUACCAUUAGAUUUAAAGGGAUAGUUCACCCUAAAAUGAAAAUGCUGUCAUUAAUUACUCACCCUCUUGUCAUUCCAAACCCAUUAACACUUCAUCUUGUUUCCUUUUGCACAUAAAAAGUAUUCUUGUAGCUUCAUAAAAUAAGGUUGAACCACUGAUGUCACAUGGACUAUUUUAAAAGGGUCAUAUGUUGCUGCUAAAAAGAAGAUUAUUUUGUGUAUUUGGUGUAAUGAAAUGUGUUUAUGCGGUUUAAGGUUAAAAAAAAAUUAUUUUCCACAGACUGUACAUUAUUGUUUCUCCUCUUUGCCCCGCCUUUCUGAAACGCGUACAUUUUUACGAAGCUCAUCGUUCUGAAAAGCGAGGUGUAUGCUGAUUGGCCAGCUAUCCAGUGCAUUGUGAUUGGCUGAAUGCCUCAAGCGUGUAAAGGAGAUGUUACACCGCUAACCAUACUGUCAUGCCCAGAGUGAUGAAAAAAAAAAAAAAAAUUUUAAACCCAUUAUAAACGAGGCAUUUGUUGCAUCCAGUGGGGAUAUAAUUACUGAUCAUAAUGACUUAUACUGUCUUUUUACGCGUUGCGUUGCAUCGUGCCUUAUAAACAUAAAACCAUGUCUGCAUUUGUGAUCGGAGAAACAACAAACAACAAGCGCUACUCUAGGGAUCUUAUCUAUUCACGAAAAGCUUGUAACAAUCCAAAGAGAAAGGAAAACUUGAAAUCGCAUCAAAUGACCCCUUUAAGGAUGUCCUUAACUACGUUUAUGUGACCUUGACCUUUUAGCACAUCCUGAUUUUUUUUUAUGGGUGUGCCUUGACCAUGGUAAUUCCCUUGCUGUCUAUGGAGGGUCAGAAAGCUCUCAGAUUUCCUCAAAAAUAUCUUAAUUUGUCUUUUGAAGUUAAACGAAGGUCUUACAGGUUUGAAACUUUAUGAGGGAGAGUAAUUAAUGACAUAAUUUUCAUUUUUUGGGUGAACUAUCCCUUUAAUUCAGUAUAUUUUUUCAUAAUGACCAUUUUCUAUCCUCUCUUCUCCUCCUUUGAAUUAAACAAACAUUUUGUUUCUGUGCCUUUAAUAAUUCUAUUGCAAAUGAGCUCUGUGCUGAUUGGCUUAGCUCUGUAUACUGGUGUAGUUCAUGAUCAUCAACACGGGUCAGGUUUCUAAAUACUGAGCAAGUGUUGGUAUGUAAAAGUGGGUGCUUUUAUGCUAAUUUGCUCAUGGUUGUGGUGUCAUAAUCAUGCUGACUUCCAAAAGUCAAUUCCUGAAGUAAUUCAAAGUUAGUUUUAUAGAUUGUAGGUGGACUGAGGUGUCUGAAUUUGUACGUUCUACUCAAAGAUGAAUUGUGCAUUUCUAGAUCAACACUAUCAACGCCAAAGCAUCCGCAUGCUUGCAUUACAACAAAACGAUAAUUAUAAAUUGUAAGCUCAGAAUAUUCUGAGAGCUACGACUUGGACCAUGUGACCGCUGUACCACCUGACUGCCACCAGGGGUUCUCAUCUCUGGCCUUCGAGGUCAACUAGAGACCUGCGCGGGACAGAUUUUUCAGUCCCGCUCCCACCCGCUCCCGCAAGAUUCUGUCCCGCGCCCGCCCGCUCCCGCAGAAAUAUAUCUUAUCUGGUCCCGCUCCUGCCCGCGACAUUCAUGUUUUGUCCCGCUCCCGCCCGCAAAAGCCCGCAUAAAAGUAAUCUAUAUAGAUUCUUUUCAGUACAUCUAAGAAAUUUACAUGAAAUGGUUCUGUAACAUCUCCUAAGCUCCACAACAUCCCAGCAUAAAUGCUCCCGAUAAAAUAUUUGUUAUUUAGGCUAAGCAUCAACAUUCACAAUCACAAACCACUGUUAUUUUUAACAGAAAAGCAAGCAUGGGCUACUGUGUGUAUAGUUUGUCAUGGAAGAAUGCGAGCGCGCUUCCUUUAUUAUCACUAAAAGAUGACAUCUCAGUUAAUCGCGAUCUCAUAAAGCUCUGUUAUAACACAAUAAAUAUAUGCACAAUGAAUCUUUCACAUUGUCUACACAUUGUGUGUUAAAAUGAGAGGAUUCGUGAGCACGCAAUUUCAGCACUGCGGUGAGUAGAUUCAAACUUAAUCACUUCUGAUUGGCCGCUGCGUUCCAGAAAUCAACAGCUGAGUCUGUGAUUGGCUACAUUGCGCAACCCUUUAAACACGUGUUAUAAAUAG
rnacentral:lncRNA from 1 species